AUUGAACGCUGGCGGCAGGCCUAACACAUGCAAGUCGAGCGGAUGAGGGAAGCUUGCUUCCCGAUUUAGCGGCGGACGGGUGAGUAAUGCCUAGGAAUCUGCCUAUUAGUGGGGGAUAACGUUCCGAAAGGAACGCUAAUACCGCAUACGUCCUACGGGAGAAAGUGGGGGAUCCUCGGACCUCACGCUAAUAGAUGAGCCUAGGUCGGAUUAGCUAGUUGGUGAGGUAACGGCUCACCAAGGGGACGAUCCGUAGCUGGUCGGAGAGGAUGAUCGGCCACACUGGAACGGAGACACGGUCCAGGCUCCGACGGGAGGCAGCAGUGGGGAAUACUGGACAAUGGGCGAAAGCCUGAUCCAGCCAUGCCGCGUGUGUGAAGAAGGUCUUCGGGUUGUAAAGCACUUUUGUCCGGAAAGAAAUCCUUUCGAUUAAUACUCGGGAGGGAUGACGGUACCGGAAGAAUCAGCACCGGCUAACUUCGUGCCAGCAGCCGCCGUAACAC
rnacentral:rRNA from 1 species